rnacentral:rRNA from 1 species
AAUACUUAGGUAACGUACCCUCUCGCUGGGGAUAACCAAGGGAAACUUUGGCUAAUACCGAAUAAUUCGUCCGGGGCUUCGGCCCUGGCCGAUAAAGCCGCAAGGCGCGAGUGGAGCGGCCUGAGUCCCAUUAGCUAGUUGGAGAGGUAACGGCUCACCAAGGCUUCGAUGGGUAGCUGGUCUGAGAGGAUGAUCAGCCACACUGGUACUGGAACACGGACCAGACUCCUACGGGAGGCAGCAGUUAGGAAUCUUGCGCAAUGGGGGAAACCCUGACGCAGCAACGCCGCGUGAGUGAUGAAGGCCUUCGGGUUGUAAAGCUCUUUUAGUCGGGACGAAAAAAAUGACGGUACCGACAGAAAAAGCACCGGCUAACCCUGUGCCAGCAGCCGCGGUAAUACAGGGGGUGCAAGCGUUACUCGGAAUUACUGGGCGUAAAGAGCGUGUAGGCGGUUCAGUAAGUCUCGUGUGAAAGCCCUGGGCUUAAUCCAGGAAGUGCACGAGAUACUGCUAGACUAGAGUACAGGAGAGGAGAGCGGAAUUCCUGGUGUAGAGGUGAAAUUCGUAGAUAUCAGGAGG